AGCCAAACUAACAGAAUCUUCUGUUAGCUUAAAGGUGAAAUGCCGGAAAGCUGCAAGCAUGAAGAAAGAACCAUGGGGCGAGGAUGAUGAUAAACUGCAUAACCAAACUUGUGAAGAAUGUCAGCAUGGGGUCUCUUACCCAUUGUGAAAUCCCAAUCUCAGACCAGCUCCGCUAGCUACUUGUCUUGCUCCAACUCAAUGAGGUGGCCAUGAGAGCUAGUUGCGUAAGCCAUUGCAAGGAGAGGGAAGUAGCAGGGAGAUGGCUGGACCAGGUUGGGUUUAGGGGCAGCAAGGAGUCACGGCGAGGGCAAGGAUGGAGGCAGGGUGGUGCGAGAGCACGAGGUGGGAGGUGGGAGAGCCAUUCUCCUUUGUCUCUAGUUGUUCC
rnacentral:lncRNA from 1 species